UGGAUCACCAAGCCUGGCCUAGAGGUGGAGUUAAGGCAUAUCUAUAGAGACAAUAAGUGACCACCCCCUUGUGUUCCAGACCCACAUCAAUCCAAAUUUAUUAUUAUUUUAUUUAUAUAGCGCCAGCAAAUUCCAUAGCGCUGUACAAUGGGUAGAAACUUUAUCUUCGAUCUCCUCUUUUUUGUACUUGCCACAGAAAUAAUAAUUGCAUCUAUGAAUUUGUUACCAUUUUUCCAUUUCAUAGAUAUGUCACAAUUCUUACUUGUGACCCAAUAUAGCGGAUAUCCC